AGAUUGUAUGUACAGGUUAUGUACCGUAAUUGUCAGAGAGAGGAUGUUUUAAAGACAUUUUGUCUUGUCGCAGAAUUCCACUGAUUGUUUCGCAAAUCUUCGUUCUUCGAGAUCAGAUUCGGUGCAGUAUCACGUGGUCGAACGAUUUCUGGCUCCGAUUUGAAUCAGACGAUGUCUAAGAGCGUGUUUCGGACAAACGUAAAUUGUGAGGUAUAAUUAGAGAAUAUUGAGAUAAGAAUGGCUGAUAAAAAGUGACAAAGACGUUACAAGAUGUCGUCAAUAACGAAGACACUGAGUGCAUGGUGCAUCGUAGACGCCGAGAUUGACGGCGAUGACAAGGACUCGGAUAAGGUUAUUGUUCCGGAACUUCAGGGUACAUCCAAAUGGACAAAUUACAUACAUGGCUGGCAAAAUAGAUUUAUUGUACUCAAAGAUGGUACUUUGUGUUAUUACAAAUCCGAGCAGGACAGAAUUUGGAUUUGGAUGUCGUGGCUUGGUUAGUUUGUAACAAAGCUAAUAUCAAGGCACAUCAAUUUGAUGUAUGCAGAUUUGAUGUAUCUGUUAAUGACUGCUUAGUCUGGUAUUUAAGAGCAAGCAGUUCAGAAGAAAAGCAACAAUAGAACUUCUUAACACUCUCCGUCCUAACCCACACAGAACAGAACGUCAAUGGACAUCUAUUAGACAUCCAUGAUGGAAAUUGGAAACAUCUAUUGGACGUCGUUACCUCUUAUAGAUAUCCAUUAGAUAUCUAGAGUUCACUUUUUAAAUGUCCAUAAGAAGUCUAAUGUGAUGUGAUGUGAUGUUUCGUGGUAAUCCAUGGAUAUGCAGUAGAUAUUUUACGGAGAUUCUUGAAAUGAUUAUUGGAUGUUAGUUUUAUGAAUAAAUAAUAAAAAUUAAAGGUUUUUAUAUGUCAUACAUAUAAUUUACGUUGU